ACGAACCGUCCUAAAGUUAUUCGGAAUUACUGGGCUUAAAGGGUGCGUAGGCGGCCCUGUAAGUUGGGUGUGAAAUCCCUCGGCUCAACCGAGGAAUUGCGCCCAAUACUGCAGGGCUAGAGGAAGAUAGAGGUGAGCGGAACUUGUGGUGGAGCGGUGAAAUGCGUUGAUAUCACAAGGAACACCUGUGGCGAAAGCGGCUCACUGGGUCUUUUCUGACGCUGAGGCACGAAAGCUGGGGGAGCGAACGG
rnacentral:rRNA from 1 species